GGCUCAGAUUGAACGCUGGCGGCAUGCUUUACACAUGCAAGUCGAACGGUAACAGGUUAAGCUGACGAGUGGCGAACGGGUGAGUAAUGCAUCGGAACGUGCCCAGUCGUGGGGGAUAACGCAGCGAAAGCUGUGCUAAUACCGCAUACGAUCUAUGGAUGAAAGCGGGGGACCGUAAGGCCUCGCGCGAUUGGAGCGGCCGAUGUCAGAUUAGCUAGUUGGUGGGGUAAAGGCCCACCAAGGCGACGAUCUGUAGCUGGUCUGAGAGGACGACCAGCCACACUGGAACUGAGACACGGUCCAGACUCCUACGGGAGGCAGCAGUGGGGAAUUUUGGACAAUGGACGCAAGUCUGAUCCAGCCAUUCCGCGUGCAGGAUGAAGGCCCUCGGGUUGUAAACUGCUUUUGUACGGAACGAAAAGGUUUCUAUUAAUACUAGGAGCUCAUGACGGUACCGUAAGAAUAAGCACCGGCUAACUACGUG
rnacentral:rRNA from 1 species